CUUAAAGCCCUAAAUGACGGCUUCAAUAUCAGCCCCAUUAAGCAUGAAAUUCAUUUACUUAAAUAAAAUCUGAAUCUUAGCCCAAACCUGGGAGAUUCAAAACCUGAGAGCAGUCUUACCAAAGACGCCCGUAUGUCUGGUGAAGUCAGUUGGAUGCAAGCAGUUUGUGCUGGUACCGGGGCCCCAGCUACUGAUGAAGUGGCAGGAGUCCACGGAAGCCUACUACAAAGUUCCUGGGGCUUCCAGGGGAGAUUGACGAGAUUCCUGGGGAGGGGAUUCAUGACAGCUGAGUUCCUUUUGGAGGAUCCAUCUUCAGGCAGUCUGAUCCCCCAAGAAAGCAGCUGGAAAACAAGAGCAUGUGAAGGAAGCGCGGCAGCUCCUCGCCAGCCAGACAGCCAGCCCCGCACCGCAGGAAUCGACACGUACGGCAGCCUAGACGCCAUCAGUUAAACUUAUAUGUAGGCUUGUUGAGGAAAACGACUUUCAAACACAAAGCAAAAGAAAAACAUGAAACCAAGGGUUCCAACAUUCAUCACCCAGUUUCAGGGACACCUUUGUAGGAAUGCUACAGCCUCUUCCUUACCCAUUCAAACCAGUCGCUCUGCUGCAUACCCACAUCACAGGAGGCCCUUAGCCCCGACACACAGGCUCACUCAGCCCAGGGACGUCAGCACCUGUGCCAGCUCCACAGGGUAUCCACCAUGUGGCCAGAACUGAGGCCCAGCAAUUGCUGAAAUGUCCUUUAAAUGAACAGGUACAACACGUACAACCCCCAAGAGCUGACAUCCCCAAAGCCCCACCACAAAUAGCUGACUCCUACUUAUACCUGCAGGAGCAGGUGCUGACCUCUGCAAUUCUAAACCGUCCACUUUGGGCAAAAUUCAUCAAGCUAUGGAUAUGAAAAAAGGCCCCCAAGGAUAUGAUUCAUAGUCCAGCGUUUGAGUGAGCACUCCAGUCAGAACGAACUCUGCAUUGUGAACAUCUGAACAGAGUGGAAACAGACACUUGUUAGAGAUCCACUGCUGUGCGUGCGCACAUACUCAACACAGGGCAAUGACGGACUCGCUGGUGGACUCCACUCUACCCACCGAGUUCUGCUUGUGCUCCAUGAGCUUCCGGAAAGAUGGCUGCUUGGAUAACACCUUUCCUCCUGCACACUCUACGAUUGCCUUCAUAGUGGAAAGACUUGGGCAGAUUCCAGGUGUGAUGUAAAAAUAUUUUGCCUAAAAUUAAAUGAAAAUAUAUGUAUUGUGUUCUUAAAA